UAUUUUUAAAAAAAAAAAAAAAAAAAAUACAUCCUAACAAUUGAAAAAUUUAUAGAUUCAAGAAUAGAACAUAGAACAUAAAAUCACAAGUAAAAGAGACCAAAACAAUAUAGAUCCAUACAAUUUCAAUAAAUAUUCAACCUAAUUAUAAAAGAAAAUUCUUGAAAAUUAUGGAAUUGGGAUUUAUUAUGUCUACCAAAAGCUAAAAAACUUCAAUCAAUCAAAUGACUACUAUAUUAAUUUCUCGAUCCAGAAAAUCACAUCAAAUUUCAUCAUUAAACAGGCGCGGCGACCACGACAGGAGCUGCGGCAGCAGCGGCAUUGGAAGCAGCACCACCUAUGAAUGACAGAAAUCCAGUAGUUGCAGGCUCUUGCUCAUCCAAGAAAAGAUC
rnacentral:misc_RNA from 1 species